GCAGCCUGAUCGAGCGACGCCGCGUGUGCGAUGAAGGCCUUCGGGUUGUAAAGCACUGUCGAGAGGGAGAAAGCCGCAAGGUUGAUCUAUCUCUGGAGGAAGGACGGGCUAAGUUCGUGCCAGCAGCCGCGGUAAGACAAACCGUCCAAACGUUAUUCGGAAUCACUGGGCUUAAAGGGCGCGUAGGCGGGCGAGCAAGUCUGUGGUGAAAUACCCCGGCUUAACCGGGGAACUGCCGUGGAUACUGCUUGUCUCGAGGAGGGUAGGGGCAUCUGGAACAGCCGGUGGAGCGGUGAAAUGCGUUGAUAUCGGCUGGAACUCCGGUGGCGAAGGCGAGAUGCUGGACCCUUUCUGACGCUGAGGCGCGAAAGCCAGGGGAGCGAACGGGAUUAGAUACUCCGGUAGUCCUGGCCCUAAACGAUGAGAACUGGAUAGCGGGCUUGACAUGAGCACGCUGUCGGAGCAAAAGUGUUAAGUUCUCCGCCCGGGGAGUAUGGUCGCAAGGCUGAAACUCAAAGAAAUUGACGGCUCAAAGGAAUUG
rnacentral:rRNA from 1 species